GGCCCGGUAGCUCAGUUGGUAGAGCAGAGGAUUGAAAAUCCUUGUGUCGGUGGUUCGAUUCCGCCCCAGGCCA
rnacentral:tRNA from 1 species